UCUCAGCCAUGGUUGCAUACCUUCCAAGCUCCACCGCCUCUUCUUCCUCGUGGGCAGAUCCCUGAUUUUGUGUAGGACAGCACUUGAAAUGUAUUUGUGUGCUCAACAUUGGUUUCCUCUCUGGAACCUGGGAUCACUUCAGGGGUGGACACGUGGCCCAACCAUGACUGAUGAGACAUGCGGGGAAAUCUGCAGAGGCAACUUCUAGGAAAGGUUGGGCUCUUGCAGCCACCCUGUGACUAUGAGGUGAGAAGCUUGUCCAGUGUGAUAGCUGAUCCACUGAAGAUGACAAGGAAAACAGCAGAAAGGAACCAGGCUACUUGAUCAUAGUGAGAGCUGAUAAGGCAGCCAAUCUGAAUUUCUUUCUACGUAAAACAAUUAACAUUAGUGUUUCAUUGCAUUUUCUAUUGCUUGCAGCCAAAAAUACUCUAACCACUGUCCUUGGGCAAAUUACUGACCUCUUUAAGCCUUGAUUUUCUCAUCUCUGAGAGAUGAACACAAGAGUUUGUAUUUCAUUGAAUGAGAUAAGGUAAUGAUAAGAAUAAGAAAUAUUUAUGCUGCACUUACUAUGUGCUCAACUCUGUUCAAAACAGUUUACUCAUUUAACAUACGUAUCAUGCUUAGCCUAGGAUCCUGAACCUUUUAUGUUCUCAAACUUACCCUUAUAAUCAUUGCUAUUGCAGGAACUAGGCUAUUAAUUCAGACCUUCUGUUCCUAGACAUUUUACCAACAGUGAAAGUAAACUUUCACUCCUCCCACCACCCCACAAGGAAAAUUACAGGAGCAUUUGAAAACAUUUUUGAAACUCAAAUGCUCUCACAAUUGAAUGACACAGGAAUCAAUACUUAGAAAACUCUGCCUUUUCAGUGUUCAGAGUAUAAUGCAUAUUUUUAAAAAUAGACUCAAUACAAGUUCUUGCAAAUCUAUUUGGAAGCGAAAAGAGCUCAUUAUAACAAUGGUUCUGGAUGGAUUACAAACUUCUCAGUUUAGAAAUGGGUUUUUGUUUUGUUAGUACACCAUGCUCUCUACUAUUAUUUACUGCAUAGUUUGAGUCACUCACUAGUCAAUUUCUCAACGCUUUGUCAAGGACUAUGAAGGGCUGAAGAUUUACUCUACUUGAGAACGAACCAGGUAACCUCCCACAAUUUCACAGAUGCUAGCAGAAGACAGGGCACUCCUCGGUUAGACACCUAGGGCUUCAUUACUUAGGGCCCAGCAGUCAGUGUGGGCACCAGUUCCCCUUACCCCUCUUCCCAUUCCCACAGCUCAUGGUAUGUGGGUGGGUCCACGUGGACACUGCACAGAAUUGAGGAACCUUGCAUUUAAGAAGACUUAAUCUUACAAGGGGCUGAUAGCAAACUUUCCCAAACCUUGUCCCAGAGAAAGAUAUUGUCUUUAUCAUCCUGAUCUGAAUACUAAUCUUCCCUCUGUAGAAGGAGACAGUAUCUCUGUUUCCUAAGGCUCUUGCUGGACAAACAUCUUUGAAAGGACAGUUCAGAGGAGAUGCUGUCAGAGUCUUAGCUCACAAGAUGUGCAGAAAUGGAAAGGCCAUGGAGAAUUGUCUCCCAACACUGGGAAACCACUCAGUCUCACUCACCUCUACCAUGCUUUUUCAGUGUACCCUAUUUUUUUUCUCAGCAAAGCUGCUUGCUAUAUUUGCAUUUGGCUCUGAGCUGACCCCAACCUCAAGUGUUACCUCUUGGUCAUCCACCACUUUCUGAAUAAAUUAUAUUCAGUGGUCCAAGUUCAGAUGACGAGGGAAGGGAAUCUGAUGGAUCCAGCUUGGGUCCAGUAUCCAGGCCUGGUUCAAUUAGUGUCAUCAGGGGUCAGUGCCAUUUAACACACUUUGCCCACCCUCUGUGGAUGGGCAGGAGUGGGUAGAGUCCUGUAGGGUAAGGACAGGGAGACAGCCUUGGUAAAAGUUCAUUUAACAAGGAUGGAUUGCAUAACUGGUUUCAUCAUUGUUAGUAGCAGUAGUCUCUCUAUAAAUCUUAUAAAUCACUUAUAUUGAAAAAAGUCAUCAAGCAUGACUCAAAUAACUUCAGCAGAAAACAGUCACCCUAAUAAAGUCAUUUAAUUAUAUAUGUCUAUAUAUUCUGAAUAUUCAGCGAAGUGGAUUAUGCCACCGGCUGAGUGUAUCCAGAGUGAUGCUUGACAGCUCCUUUUAUUGCUAAUGGCUCACAGAGUUUAUGCCCUUUAGGAAGUGCCAGAAUCAUUAGUACUGUCACUGAAAUGUGCUGUUAAUGUAAAUUCUACUCAGAAAAAUGGAACAGCAAUUGCAAAACCAGCAGCUGGAGAAUGGGCAGCCCAGUGAGGAAAGAUCAAUGGGAGAAAGGCUUGUAACUUUCUCCCAUUUUCUAGAAAUUUGUGACUUUCUAGAAAACGAAGCCAGUCUCAACAGUGCCUCCAAGGACCUGAAGCUUCUCCAAGUGCUGUUUUGAAUGGGAAGGCAGGAGUCGGAACUGGCCAUCCAGGACUGUCUACAUGGCCUCUCUCUCUUCUCAUCUUCCUCUAAGAAAUUUCUCCAGUUUUUCAAUCUUGACCUCUCAGAAAAAAGAGAUUCUGAUCUUGUGAACUGAUGCUGCAUGUUGAAUGAGUUUUCAUCCUGCAUGAUACUUCAUGGAUUUAUUUGCAUUUUAAUUAUUCUUUUAUACAAAAGAGCCAUAGAAAAGAAAAGUCUGACCCAAGUUUUGUCAAGAUAAAGCAGAGUAUGGGAAGUGGGCAACUGUGAGAACUUGGUUAGAGCCAGUCUGUAUAGUUUAGUAUUUAAUGGGGAAGUUUGGGGUGUGGGAAAUGGGACCUAUUUCCUUUGCUCUUGAGGUUAGGUUGAGCCAUCUGGCUCCCUGCCCUGCAGUUCCCAUAACUGAAGAGUUAUACAUCCCAUAACCCCUGCCCACUAGUGAACCCCUUCCUCAGCUCUGGGACUGAUUGUCUUCAAGCUGAGCACACACUGAGCACUGGGCCUGCCUUCUUCCUAACACAGGUUUUUGUAAGCUCCAGACAUUGGAUAAAGCAUUUUGAGGGAUAGGUGAAAACGAAAUCCUGCCCUUUACUCUUGAGAACUCACUCUGCUGUGGGAGGAGAGACAGGCAGCAUUCUGACCACAAUGCCAGAAGACAAUACGGAAUUACUCAGUACAUGAAGCACCAGGAAGAUGACAACAGAAGAGAGAGGACCCAGACAUUGGAAUCAGCAGCCACCAGGUGCAAUCUCCAACAUGUGCGGGCUUUGGGAAAACACAAUCGGGCAAGUGAAGUUUGUUGCAGACAAGUUCUUCUUCCCCUCUGCCACAACCUCCUCCAAGGUUACAGGGAGAGCACCCUGUCUGUGAAGAAGCAGGUUCUCAUCUGAUACCAAAUCUGCUGGCACCUUGAUCUUGGACUUCCCAGACUCCAGGACUGAAGAUCACAGAUUGACAUCAGCAGGAAAACUUGCCAGGCAGCAGGAGGAUCCAUUUGAAAACUCACGAGAAAAAGGCCCUUGAGGCCUUUUUCCUGGUUAUUGAAGACAUCUUAGGAAACACUUAUGGUGACAAUUAAUCAAGCAAAAAUAGAUCCAGUUUUUCUGAAGAUCAAGCUUAACAUGUGUGCCAUGCUUUAAAAUGUCUUUCCAGGCACUCUCUCCUGCCCACGGAUCUUGCUUGGGAAAGGAAUGGGGCAAGUGGAAAUGGCCAUUUCUUAGAUGAACACAUCAGGGACUUGCUCCAGUCUGAAGUCUAUACAGAGCUAGGCUUUGAAUCCAGUCACGUAACUCAGGUGUGUGUUCAGAGCUUGACGGAUUACCACCAGGCUGGGCCAACAGGGUCGUUUUCAAGUCAGCUAGCCCUAAAAGGGCAAAAAAUUGUUGCAAUGCUCCCAGAUGUAACUCUGACCUGGUAUGGUUCAGGGACGAGGCCACUCACACACACUUGGGCAACUGCUCUUCUCGUGACCAGCCUCUUUCUGUGGGAAUCACUCCAUGGAGCCACCGUCUCUCCCAAGCUACAAUGUUCUACAAUGGUGCAAGUGGGGGAAAAAUUUCAACAAAAUUUUGGAUAUCAGCUGCUUUAUGAAGGCAUGAUUUAUAAUGAUUUAUUAUAAAAUGAUGGUGUUUUAAUGCUCUUUUUAUUGGUUUUCUAACAGUCGUGGAAACACCAUCAGGAGGAUAUAGCUAGACUCUGGGGGAAAUGUCCACACAUACGGUGCUCAAUCUAUCCUUUCACUGACUCCACAUCUAUAGAUUUCAUAGGGGGUCUUCCCACGGCUUCUCGGGAAUGGGCCAAAGGUCAUCUUCUGUGCUUAAGAUUUGAUAAUUUAAAAAUUGUAAUGCUUAAUUGUGUUUCAAAGCAUCAAGAUAUCAAGACCUGAGAAUAACCAAAUUGAAAUGUCCCCAUG
rnacentral:lncRNA from 1 species